CAGCAGCCACGGUAAUACAGAGGGUGCGAGCGUUAAUCGGAUUUACUGGGCGUAAAGCGUGCGUAGGCGGCUUCUUAAGUUGGAUGUGAAAUCCCUGAGCUUAACUUAGGAAUUGCAUUCGAUACUGGGAAGCUAGAGUAUGGGAGAGGAUGGUAGAAUUCCAGGUGUAGCGGUGAAAUGCGUAGAGAUCUGGAGGAAUACCGAUGGCGAAGGCAGCCAUCUGGCCUAAUACUGACGCUGAGGUACGAAAGCAUGGGGAGCAAACAGGAUUAGAUACCCGAGUAGUCCCUGUCUCUUAUAA
rnacentral:rRNA from 1 species